UGCCAUCUCCCACUGAGCGUGCCAGACCAGAAACAACUCGGCUCCAAAGAGAGUAAAGGCGCAAAGAUGAAGGUGUCGUACGUGGCUGCUUUCCUCAUCGGGCUCCUCUCCCUGGAGAGCACCAGAGCAGCUCCACUGAAAAAACAGUUGUGGUCGGUGGGCUCCGGUAGCGUCGACACCGGCAACGUGGGAGACGGCAGCUUUGACGACAACAGCCAAAACAACCAGUUCUGGUCAGUGGGCUCCGGUAGCGUAGACACCGGCAACGUGGGUGACGGCAGCUUUGACGACAACAGCCAAAACAACCAAUUCUGGACAGUGGGCUCCGGUAGCGUAGACACCGGCAACGUGGGUGACGGCAGCUUUGAUGACAACAGCCAAAACAACCAAUUCUGGUCAGUGGGCUCCGGUAGCGUAGACACCGGCAAUGUGGGCGACGGCAGCUUUGACGACAACAGCCAAAACAACCAAUUCUGGUCAGUGGGCUCUGGUAGCGUAGACACUGGCAAUGUGGGCGACGGCAGCUUUGACGACAACAGCCAAAACAACCAAUUCUGGUCAGUGGGCUCCGGUAGCGUCGACACCGGCAACGUGGGUGACGGCAGCUUUGAUGACAACAGCCAAAACAACCAAUUCUGGUCAGUGGGCUCCGGUAGCGUAGACACCGGCAAUGUGGCCGACGGCAGCUUUGACGACAACAGUCAAAACAACCAAUUCUGGUCAGUGGGCUCCGGUAGCGUAGACACCGGCAACGUGGGAGACGGCAGCUUUGACGACAACAGCCAAAACAACCAAUUCUGGUCAGUGGGCUCUGGUAGCGUAGACACCGGCAACGUGGGUGAUGGCAGCUUUGAUGACAACAGUCAAAACAACCAAUUCUGGUCAGUGGGCUCCGGGAGCGUAGACACCGGCAACGUGGCCGACGGCAGCUUUGACGACAACAGUCAAAACAACCAAUUCUGGUCAGUGGGCUCCGGGAGCGUAGACACCGGCAAUGUGGCCGACGGCAGCUUUGACGACAACAGUCAAAACAACCAAUUCUGGUCAGUGGGCUCCGGUAGCGUAGACACCGGCAACGUGGCCGACGGCAGCUUUGAUGACAACAGCCAAAACAACCAAUUCUGGUCAGUGGGCUCCGGUAGAGUAGACACCGGCAACGUGGGAGACGGCAGCUUUGAUGACAACAGCCAAAACAACCAAUUCUGGUCAGUGGGGUCUGGUAGCGUAGACACCGGCAACGUGGGCGACGGCAGCUUUGACGACAACAGCUCCCCGGGGUAGCAAUGAGACAUACCAGAGGAGGCCUUUUGUUAUCACUCAGAAGGCACUUCUACUGGGGGUCCCCAGCAAAACAACCAAUUCUAGUCAGCGUACUAGGUUCCCAGAAACCCACCACGACAACUGCCCUGACGCUUUCUGUCCCGUGCUCUCACCCAUCUCAGCCUGAACAUGAAAAACACAGCACGCUCCGGUGGAAUUUGCUUUUGCCCUGUUCGAUGAUUUGACUGUAGGGCGCAGUUCUUACCCUUCCGUUGCCCCUCAGAUGACUCUGCAAUAAUGCAAAUAAACCUGUUUCCACUCAGAUCCUCA